GGGGGUUUAGCUCAGCGGCAUAAGCGCCUGCCUUGCAAGCAGGCAGUCAUGCGUUCAAUCCCUG
rfam:Cavia porcellus supercont2_1 genomic scaffold, whole genome shotgun sequence.